rnacentral:rRNA from 1 species
GACGAACGCUGGCGGCGUGCUUAACACAUGCAAGUCGAACGGUAAGGCCCUUCGGGGUACACGAGUGGCGAACGGGUGAGUAACACGUGGGUGAUCUGCCCUGCACUUCGGGAUAAGACUGGGAAUCUGGGUCUAAUACCGGAUAGGACCACUGCCUGCAUGGGUGGUGGUGGAAAGCUUUUGCGGUGUGGGAUGGGCCCGCGGCCUAUCAGCUUGUUGGUGGGGUGAUGGCCUACCAAGGCGACGACGGGUAGCCGGCCUGAGAGGGUGACCGGCCACACUGGGACUGAGAUACGGCCCAGACUCCUACGGGAGGCAGCAGUGGGGAAUAUUGCACAAUGGGCGCAAGCCUGAUGCAGCGACGCCGCGUGAGGGAUGACGGCCCUCGGGUUGUAAACCUCUUUCAGCACCGACGAAGCGCAAGUGACGGUAGGUGCAGAAGAAGGACCGGCCAACUACGUGCCAGCCGCCGCCGUAA